AACGAACGCUGGCGGCAUGCCUAGCACAUACAAGUCGAACGAGACCUUCGGGUCUAGUGGCGCACGGGUGCGUAACGCGUGGGAACCUGCCCUUAGGUUCGGAAUAACUCCCCGAAAGGGGUGCUAAUACCGGAUAAUGUCUUCGGACCAAAGAUUUAUCGCCUUUGGAUGGGCCCGCGUUGGAUUCGCUAGUUUGUAGGGUAAAAGCCUACCAAGGCGACGAUCCAUAGCUGGUCUGAGAGGAUGAUCAGCCACACUGGGACUGAGACACGGCCCAGACUCCUACGGGAGGCAGCAGUGGGGAAUAGUGGACAAUGGGCGAAAGCCUGAUCCAGCAAUGCCGCGUGAGUGAUGAAGGCAUUAGGGUUGUAAAGCUCUUUUACCCGGGAUGAUAAUGACAGUACCGGGAGAAUAAGCUCCGGCUAACUCCGUG
rnacentral:rRNA from 1 species